GACGAACGCUGGCGGUGUGCUUAACACAUGCAAGUCGAACGGAAAGGCCCUGCUUUUGUGGGGUUCUCGAGUGGCGAACGGGUGAGUAACACGUGAGUAACCUGCCCUUGACUUUGGGAUAACUUCAGGAAACUGGGGCUAAUACCGGAUAGGAGCUCCUGCUGCAUGGUGGGGGUUGGAAAGUUUCGGCGGUUGGGGAUGGACUCGCGGCUUAUCAGCUUGUUGGUGGGGUAGUGGCUUACCAAGGCUUUGACGGGUAGCCGGCCUGAGAGGGGGACCGGCCACAUUGGGACUGGGAUACGGCCCAGACUCCUCCGGGAGGCAGCAGUGGGGAAUAUUGAACAAUGGGCGGAAGCCUGAUGAAGCAACGCCGCGUGCGGGAUGACGGCCUUCGGGUUGUAAACCGCUUUCGCCUGUGACGAAGCGUGAGUGACGGUAAUGGGUAAAGAAGCACCGGCUAACUACGUG
rnacentral:rRNA from 1 species